rnacentral:rRNA from 1 species
GAUUAAGCGGUACUUGUACCAAUUGAGAUUUUAACACGAAGUGAGUGGCGAACGGGUGAGUAACACGUGGGUAACCUGCCCAGAAGUAGGGGAUAACACCUGGAAACAGAUGCUAAUACCGUAUAAUAGAGAAAACCGCAUGGUUUUCUUUUGAAAGAUGGCUCUGCUAUCACUUCUGGAUGGACCCGCGGCGCAUUAGCUAGUUGGUAAGGUAAAGGCUUACCAAGGCAGUGAUGCGUAGCCGACCUGAGAGGGUAAUCGGCCACAUUGGGACUGAGACACGGCCCAGACUCCUACGGGAGGCAGCAGUAGGGAAUCUUCCACAAUGGACGCAAGUCUGAUGGAGCAACGCCGCGUGAGUGAAGAAGGGUUUCGGCUCGUAAAGCUCUGUUGUUAAAGAAGAACGUGGGUGAGAGUAACUGUUCACCCAGUGACGGUAUUUAACCAGAAAGCCACGGCUAACUACGUGCCAGCAGCCGCGGUAAUACGUAGGUGGCAAGCGUUAUCCGGAUUUAUUGGGCGUAAAGCGAGCGCAGGCGGUCUUUUAAGUCUAAUGUGAAAGCCUUCGGCUCAACCGAAGAAGUGCAUUGGAAACUGGGAGACUUGAGUGCAGAAGAGGACAGUGGAACUCCAUGUGUAGCGGUGAAAUGCGUAGAUAUAUGGAAGAACACCAGUGGCGAAGGCGGCUGUCUGGUCUGCAACUGACGCUGAGGCUCGAAAGCAUGGGUAGCGAACAGGAUUAGAUACCCUGGUAGUCCAUGCCGUAAACGAUGAAUGCUAAGUGUUGGAGGGUUUCCGCCCUUCAGUGCUGCAGCUAACGCAUUAAGCAUUCCGCCUGGGGAGUACGACCGCAAGGUUGAAACUCAAAAGAAUUGACGGGGGCCCGCACAAGCGGUGGAGCAUGUGGUUUAAUUCGAAGCUACGCGAAGAACCUUACCAGGUCUUGACAUCUUCUGACAGUCUAAGAGAUUAGAGGUUCCCUUCGGGGACAGAAUGACAGGUGGUGCAUGGUUGUCGUCAGCUCGUGUCGUGAGAUGUUGGGUUAAGUCCCGCAACGAGCGCAACCCUUAUUACUAGUUGCCAGCAUUUAGUUGGGCACUCUAGUGAGACUGCCGGUGACAAACCGGAGGAAGGUGGGGACGACGUCAAAUCAUCAUGCCCCUUAUGACCUGGGCUACACACGUGCUACAAUGGAUGAUACAACGAGUCGCGAAACCGCGAGGUUUAGCUAAUCUCUUAAAAUCAUUCUCAGUUCGGACUGUAGGCUGCAACUCGCCUACACGAAGUCGGAAUCGCUAGUAAUCGCGGAUCAGCAUGCCGCGGGUGAAUACGUUCCCCGGGCCUUGUACACACCGCCCGUCACACCAUGAGAGUUUGUAACACCC